rnacentral:misc_RNA from 1 species
UGCAUGUUUCCCCAUGCCGUUUGUAGCAGCUACAACAUCGCUUCGCUUCUUUUGGGAUGUUGAGUUGUUGGGUGGGUAUGAUAACGACAAAAAAACAUUCGUGGCUUGAAAAGAAAAAGCCUGGUGGAAGUGGGUUAUUAGAGGGUGGCUUUGGUGUAACCAUAAAAGUUACUCCAUUUGUAAUCCUGAAAUCACAGAUUCGAGUCAUCUGCUUUGCAGAUGUAAGGCCGCUUAUAUCAACUUUCUUUAGAGUUCAUAAAUGUGCGAUAUUUCGUGCAUUGGGUCUUUUUCUUGGAAGUGAGUUAUUGGUCAUCUA